GAUGAACGCUGGCGGUAUGCUUAACACAUGCAAGUCGAACGUCCUUUCGUCUUUCGGGACGAGAGGGAGUGGCGGACGGGUGAGUAACACGUGGAUGAUCUGCCUUGAGGUGAGGAAUACCACCGAGAAAUCGGUGACAAGACCGCAUACGCUUGGGCAACCAAGCAAAGUCACUUUCGGGUGACGCCCCAAGAUGAGUCCGCGGCUGAUUAGCCAGUUGGUGGGGUAAUGGCCUACCAAAGCAACGAUCAGUAGCUGGUCUGAGAGGACGAGCAGC
rnacentral:rRNA from 1 species